GACGAGUCUGACGAACGUUAUUCGGAAUUACUGGGCUUAAAGGGUGCGUAGGCGGUGGAGUAAGUCGGAUGUGAAAUACCUUAGCUCAACUAAGGAACUGCACUCGAUACUACUUUGCUAGAGUAAGACAGAGGUGAGUGGAACUGAGGGUGGAGCGGUGAAAUGCGUUGAUAUCCUCAGGAACACCGGUGGCGAAGGCGACUCACUGGGUCUUUACUGACGCUGAUGCACGAAAGCUAGGGGUAGCAAACGGGG
rnacentral:rRNA from 1 species